UCUAUCUUUGGAUUAUUAGCCUGAAGGGGAU
rnacentral:piRNA from 1 species